rnacentral:lncRNA from 10 species
UCUUUGAGAAAUAAUUUGCAACUAUCUAUUAAAAUUCUAAAAGGACACAUAUCCUUUGAAAAGUAAAACUUUUAGGCCCUCCCCGUAAAUGGUUCUGUUUGUUCGUGGCGCAGGCAGAGUUUGUUGCAAGGCUUGAUGUAAGACUUGUUACUAAAUGAUUAACUGCCUUUGUUCUGCUUCUGUAAAACUGCUUUCCCGCCCUCUGAAUUGUAAAACAAGCCCUGCCUCAGCCGGAAAUUCCAAACCAGUAUGCUAAAGGUGGCGGGGCCCGAUCGCUGCAACCCAGACCCAAGGUUGCAUCAGCAAAGGAAAACUGCAUUCCCCAGACCUCCCCGGGGCUAGUACCUAUCCCACCCCUUUGCGUCGCCAAAUAGGAAAAGACACCUGGCCUCGAGGUUACAAAAGAGGCCAAUCAAUAGCCUGUAUGCAAAUAAAGCCUAAACGCUAUAAAAGAGAUGUAUCGCCACAAAUCGGGGCUCUCUCUCUCUCCCUCAUUCCUUCCAGGUGAGAGGGCCCUGAUGCACCAGUAAAUGACUUUCUGCCGAAAUUUGUGUGUUGGGUGGUUCCUCGCGCCGACUCUCAAACCCUAAGGAACGUGAUUCUAACAUCUGGGGGCUCGUCCGGGAUUUGAGAGGCGGCCAGAGGACACCGGCCCCUUUUCCUUUUCGGCAGAAACCGCGCGGCCCCGGCCACCGGUGGCGGACGGACGACAGGACGACUCUUAUGUGUAGUCAGGUUAAGACAAAGACUGACCUACAGGCCCGGCUAAAAGGACUACAAGCAGUACAGACCCAAAUCUGGGCCCCCUUGGCAGAACUGUACCGGCCAGGACAUUCGCAGACCAGCCACCCCUUCCAGGUGGGGGACUCCGUCUACGUUAGACGACACCGUUCUCAGGGACUGGAGCCUCGGUGGAAAGGACCCUACAUUGUUCUCCUGACCACACCCACAGCCAUAAAGGUUGACGGAAUCGCCACUUGG